rnacentral:tRNA from 1 species
GCCGGGGUGGUGGAAUGGUAGACACGAUAGACUCAAAAUCUAUUGAUCGCAAGGUCAUGAGGGUUCAAGUCCCUCCCCCGGCA